UCUGAGGAAAUUUUUUUUGAAUCUUUCAGCAUUUUUUCUAUUCCCUAAUUAUUAUUCUGUUGUAAGAAGUAAAGUCUAAUAAUUACUCCAACGUUUCACAAAACGAAAGCAGUGAUUCUAUUCAUAGUAUUUUAUUACGACAAAACGUUUCAUAUGGCGAAUGCACCGUUUUGAUAAAUUGAUUCGUUCCUAUUGUCCACUAAUGCCUAAAUAAUCUCAUUUAUAAGAAUCCAUAUUCGGUGAAGUUUUUACCUUCGUAUAGGUAAUGGUGGGACAGAAAAUGAAGUAAAAUCACUGUAUCGUGAUUUUCUUUCACUCAUGAGAACCAUGGUUGGAUCGGACAAGCUGCAAAGAACCCAUGACCAAUUCUAAGAAACACUCAUACUCCAUCAGAGUUUUACAGCAACUGAAAACCAAUAAUUCACAUUGUCUAUCAAGGUGUUUAAGGGCCAUCUAACAAUUUAUGAAUCGGGAUGAAGAAGGUUACAGAGGAAGAAUGUAGAGAAUCAGUUGAGUAAAUUCAAAAGAAGAUGAUGGAGAGUCUUAUGAUCAAUUGUCGAAUAUUGCAGUAAUUUUUUUUCUCAAACAGACUACUAAAAUAUGUUAAAUUAUAGUUGCUUCUUAUAUUGUUUUGGUAUGUUUGAUUUUCGCUACUAUUUAGAUUUAGACAGAUAAAAGGAGGCAGAUUGAAAUGCUUAUUAAUAGGAACUUUGGCUAAGAAAGUCACUUAUCUUUUUUCUCCUUUUGGGCUUUUUUCA